GACGAACGCUGGCGGCGUGCCUAACACAUGCAAGUGGAGCGACGAACCAGACUUCGGUCUGGGGCCAAGCCGCGAACGGGUGAGUAACACGUGGGUAACCUGCCCCAAUGAUCGGGACAACCCGGGGAAACCCGGGCUAAUACCGAAUGUGGUCCCAGUCCGUGAGGACGGUGACGAAAGGAAGCUUCGGCCUCCGCAUUGGGAUGGGCCCGCGGCCCAUUAGCUUGUUGGUGGGGUAAUGGCCUACCAAGGCAUCGAUGGGUAGCUGGUCUGAGAGGACGAUCAGCCACACUGGGACUGAGACACGGCCCAGACUCCUACGGGAGGCAGCAGUGGGGAAUCUUGCGCAAUGCGCGAAAGCGUGACGCAGCAACGCCGCGUGGGGGAAGAAGGCUCUCGGGUCGUAAACCCCUUUCAGUUGGGACGAAGCUUCGCCGGUGAAUAGCCGGCCGGAGUGACGGUACCUUCACAAGAAGCCCCGGCUAACUACGUGCCAGCAGCCGCCGUAAGAC
rnacentral:rRNA from 1 species